rnacentral:snRNA from 1 species
AUCACUUCUCGGCCUUUUGGCUAAGAUCAAGUGUAAUAUCUGUUCUUAUCAGUUUAAUAUCUGAUAUGUCCUCUAUCCAAGGACAAUAUAGUAAAUGGAUUUUUGGAGCUUGGAAUUGGAAUAGGAGCUUGCUCCGUCCACUCCACACAUCGACCAUUAAGGUGCAGCCUUU